CCGCAGCAAACUGAAGCCGCUGCUUGCCCUGGAGCUGGAAUCACGCCUCCUGCGGGCUCUUCUUUACACCAUCUUCACGAUGGGCACUGGGCAGGAUACCACCCACUUCCAGGCUCUGCACAACACCUAUUUACAGAGGCUGGACGCCAUGGUCGGGUGCCUGCUCACUGAGACCCCCACCCUAGCUAAGCUGCAGCACCUCUUGGAGUGAGCUGUUAGCCAGUGAGUGGCCCAUCGAACGGACACUUAAUUCACAAUGGAC